rnacentral:rRNA from 1 species
GACGGAGGGUGCAAGCGUUGCUCGGAAUCACUGGGCGUAAAGGGUGCGUAGGCGGCUGUGCAAGUCUGGCGUGAAAGCCCCGGGCUCAGCCCGGGAAGUGCGCUCGAAACUGCACGGCUCGAGUGCCGGAGGGGAGAGUGGAAUUCCUGGUGUAGCGGUGAAAUGCGCAGAGAUCGGGAGGAACACCCGUAGCGAAGGCGGCCCUCUGGGCCGGUACUGACACUGAGGAGCGAAAGCGUGGGUAGCAAACAGG